GCCAGUGUAGUGUAGUGGUUUGAGCGUUGGACUACAACUCUGAAAACCAGUGUUCGAAUCGCCGCUCAGCUA